GUGGCGUACGGGUGAGUAACACGUGGAUCAUCUACCUUUUAGUGGGGAAUACCCCUGGGAAACCGGGGACAAUACCGCAUAAUCCCGUGAGGGGAAAGCAGCAAUGCGCUGAAAGAGGAGUCCGCGGCUGAUUAGCUAGAUGGCGGGGUAACGGCCCACCAUGGCGAAGAUCGGUAGCCGGCCUGAGGGGGCACACGGCCACACUGGCACUGAAACACGGGCCAGACUCCUACGGGAGGCAGCAGUGGGGAAUCUUGCACAAUGGAGGAAACUCUGAUGCAGCGACGCCGCGUGAGCGAUGAAGCCCUUCGGGGUGUAAAGCUCUUUCGACGGGGACGAUAAUGACGGUACCCGAAGAAGAAGCUGCGGCUGACUACGUGCCAGCAGCCGCGGUAAUACGUAGGCAGCGAGCGUUGUUCGGAAUUACUGGGCGUAAAGAGUGCGUAGGCGGUGCUCUAAGUCUGGUGUGAAAUCUCCCGGCUCAACUGGGAGGGUGCGCUAGAAACUGGAGUGCUAGAGUGUGGGAGAGGUAAGCGGAAUUCCUGGUGUAGCGGUGAAAUGCGUAGAUAUCAGGAGGAACACCUGCGGUGUAGACAGCUUACUGGACCACGACUGACGCUGAGGCACGAAAGCGUGGGUAGCAAACAGGAUUAGAUACCCUGGUAGUCCACGCCCUAAACGAUGCAUACUUGGUGUGAGCGAUUCAUUUCGUUCGUGCCGGAGCUAACGCGUUAAGUAUGCCGCCUGGGGAGUACGGUCGCAGGGCUGAAACUCAAAGGAAUUGACGGGGGCCCGCACAAGCGGUGGAGCAUGUGGUUCAAUUCGACGCAACGCGAAGAACCUUACCUGGGCUCGAACGGCUUAAGACCAUCUUUGGAAACAGAGACUUCUCGCAAGAGACUUGAGUCGAGGUGCUGCAUGGCUGUCGUCAGCUCGUGUCGUGAGAUGUUGGGUUAAGUCCCGCAACGAGCGCAACCCUUGUCCUGUGUUGCCACUCCCCUUAAAAGGAAGCACUCGCAGGAGACCGCCAGCGAUAAGCUGGAGGAAGGUGGGGAUGAUGUCAAGUCAUCAUGGCCUUUAUGUCCAGGCUACACACGUGCUACAAUGGCCGGUACAAACCGCUGCAAACCCGCGAGGGGGAGCUAAUCGGAAAAAACCGGUCUCAGUUCGGAUCGCAGGCUGCAACUCGCCUGCGUGAAGCUGGAAUCGCUAGUAAUGGUGUAUCAGAACGAUACCGUGAAUACGUUCCCGGGCCUUGUACACACCGCCCGUCACAUCACGAAAGUGGAUUGUACUAGAAGUCUGUAUGCCGACCCGCAAGGGGGGCAGCGGCCCAAGGUAUGAUUCAUGAUUGGGGUGAAGUCGAAACAAGGUA
rnacentral:rRNA from 1 species